rnacentral:snRNA from 1 species
AUCACUUCUCGGCCUUUUGGCUAAGAUCAAGUGUUGUAUCUUAUUUUUUACUUACAUCAUUUUAUACUUCUGUAAAAUUUUUCUGGGGACACCUAGGUGGCUCAAUCAAUUAAAUAUCUGACUCUUGGCUCUGGCUCAGGUCAUGAUCU